rnacentral:rRNA from 1 species
AGUGAACGCUGGCGGUAGGCCUAACACAUGCAAGUCGAACGGCAGCACAGUAAGAGCUUGCUCUUACGGGUGGCGAGUGGCGGACGGGUGAGGAAUACAUCGGAAUCUACUUUUUCGUGGGGGAUAACGUAGGGAAACUUACGCUAAUACCGCAUACGACCUACGGGAGAAAGCAGGGGAUCUUCGGACCUUGCGCGAUUGAAUGAGCCGAUGUCGGAUUAGCUAGUUGGCGGGGUAAAGGCCCACCAAGGCGACGAUCCGUAGCUGGUCUGAGAGGGUGAUCAGCCACACUGGAACUGAGACACGGUCCAGACUCCUACGGGAGGCAGCAGUGGGGAAUAUUGGACAAUGGGCGCAAGCCUGAUCCAGCCAUACCGCGUGGGUGAAGAAGGCCUUCGGGUUGUAAAGCCCUUUUGUUGGGAAAGAAAAGCAGCAGGUUAAUACCCCGCUGUUCUGACGGUACCCAAAGAAUAAGCACCGGCUAACUUCGUG